UCCGCACCUCUCCGCUCCGCUCACUGGAUGCCGAUCGAUGGAGACCCAGAAGCCCACGAAAUGGGCAUUCCCAGCUGCAAUGGCGACCCCUGAGACCUAGGACCCACAGCCUAGGAGCUCGGAGGAGGUGCGCUCCGCCCCCGACGAGGGCCAGGUGUGCUUCGCGCAUACGCCCACUGCCAGGAGAGGCCCAAGAGCCCCGCUAUUGCCACCAGGUGAAAUCCAUCCAAGAGCAAAUCCACCCCACCAAGACAACCCAAGCUUUUUAUCAGCUGUGAAGUGAAGUCGUUCAGUCGUGUCCGACUCUUUGUGACCCCAUGGACUGUAGCCUACAAGGCGCCUCCAUCCAUGGAAUUUUCCAGGCAGACGCUUUACCAUCUGAGCCACAAGGGAAGCCCCACGCGCUAGGUACCUGGAAAGAGGGAGGCGAGCGAGCAGCACGGCGCGCCCCACAGGCCACCGCCCCUAGGUCAACCACCACCGCGUCUCUCCCCGCAGCCCCCCGCGGGCCUAGGCGCUGCUGGCCCGUGACGCUUGGGGGCCCAGCCGUGCACUGGUCUUAGGUGGUCCCCGCCCAGGCCAGAGGACCACCCCCACGUCCCCCCGAAACAGGGCAGACCGCUCCCCCCACCACCUGGUGGGGAUUUAAAAACCUGAUGGCCACCCAGGCAGAAAAGAAGGGAGGAGGGCACCUUGCUGCCCUUUCAUGGUGGAAUCUGUGGCUGUCCUGCUGAGAGGGGGGCCUUUCCAUGAGGACCCUGUGCAAUAAGUGUGGUGUUUUAGAACUGAAUAAAUAGA